GGGGAAUCUUGCGCAAUGGGCGAAAGCCCGACGCAGCAACGCCGCGUGCGGGAUGAAGGCCUUCGGGUUGUAAACCGCUUUCAGUGGGGACGAAUCAAGACGGUACCCACAGAAGAAGCCCCGGCCAACUACGUGCCAGCAGCCGCGGUAACACGUAGGGGGCAAGCGUUGUCCGGAUUUAUUGGGCGUAAAGAGCUCGUAGGUGGUUCAGUAAGUCGGGUGUGAAACCUACAGGCUCAACCUGGAGACGCCACCCGAUACUGCUGUGACUAGAGUCCAGUAGGGGAGCGUGGAAUUCCUGGUGUAGCGGUGAAAUGCGCAGAUAUCAGGAGGAACACCAGUGGCGAAGGCGGCGCUCUGGGCUGGAACUGACACUGAGGAGCGAAAGCGUGGGGAGCGAAC
rnacentral:rRNA from 1 species